rnacentral:rRNA from 1 species
GACGAACGCUGGCGGCGUGCUUAACACAUGCAAGUCGAACGGAAAGGCCCUGCUUGCAGGGUACUCGAGUGGCGAACGGGUGAGUAACACGUGGGUGAUCUGCCCUGCACUUCGGGAUAAGCCUGGGAAACUGGGUCUAAUACCGGAUAGGAGCCAUUUUUAGUGUGAUGGUUGGAAAGUUUUUUUCGGUGUAGGAUGAGCUCGCGGCCUAUCAGCUUGUUGGUGGGGUAAUGGCCUACCAAGGCGGCGACGGGUAGCCGGCCUGAGAGGGUGGACGGCCACAUUGGGACUGAGAUACGGCCCAGACUCCGACGGGAGGCAGCAGUGGGGAAUAUUGAACAAUGGGCGCAAGCCUGAUGCAGCGACGCCGCGUGGGGGAUGACGGCCUUCGGGUUGUAAACUCCUUUCGCUAGGGACGAAGCUUUUUGUGACGGUACCUAGAGAAGAAGCACCGGCUAACUACGUG